ACGGGUGAGUAACGCGUGGUCAACCUACCGUUGAGUGGGGGAUAACUAGCCGAAAGGUUAGCUAAUACCGCACACGUCUCCGAGGGGCAUCCCUUGGCGAUAAAAGGAGCAAUCCGCUCGAUGACGGGACCGCGUCCCAUUAGCUAGAUGGUGGGGUAACGGCCUACCAUGGCACCGAUGGGUAGCUGGUUUGAGAGAGCGACCAGCCACACUGGGACUGAGAAACGGCCCAG
rnacentral:rRNA from 1 species